ACUCAAAUGAAUUGACGGGGGCCCGCACAAGCGGCGGAGCAUGUGGAUUAAUUCGAUGCAACGCGAAGAACCUUACCUGGGUUUGACAUGCACCAGAUUGCGGCAGAGAUGUCGUUUCCCUUGUGGCUGGUGUGCAGGUGGUGCAUGGCUGUCGUCAGCUCGUGUCGUGAGAUGUUGGGUUAAGUCCCGCAACGAGCGCAACCCUUGUUCCAUGUUGCCAGCGCGUAGUGGCGGGGACUCAUGGGAGACUGCCGGGGUCAACUCGGAGGAAGGUGGGGAUGACGUCAAGUCAUCAUGCCCCUUAUGUCCAGGGCUUCACACAUGCUACAAUGGCAAGUACAGAGGGCUGCGAGACCGCGAGGUGGAGCGAAUCCCUUAAAGCUUGUCUCAGUUCGGAUCGGGGUCUGCAACUCGACCCCGUGAAGUUGGAGUCGCUAGUAAUCGCAGAUCAGCAUUGCUGCGGUGAAUACGUUCCCGGGCCUUGUACACACCGCCCGU
rnacentral:rRNA from 1 species